AACUUAUUAUAUAUAUAUUACAAUAUAAAUUAAAAUAAAAGUUAAGAAGAACAUGUGUCGAAAAAUGCGAAAUAAGCCAGAUAUUUAAUUCUGAAAUUGAAAACGGCUGUACAGCCGAAUUCGCCAGCAUGUAUACCAUACAUGUACGAUGUGAAUCUAAACUUAGUGUAACGGUUUAUUUGAAUUCCUGCAACGAUCGUCCGCGAAAAUUAAGUAUUGAAUUACUGUACAAAUCUCGUGUUGUUAGGUGUUAGAAUCCUUAGUUACCCGAAAAAUUUGAUUGGAUCCGAUACUUAGAAAUAACCAAUCAGAAACUUUGUAACAAAUGCAACACAAUCAGUGCGUUCAGUAACGUUUCAAGAUGACAGAGCGAAUUGCAUGGUUAUUGUUUCUACUCGAUGGAUUCGCAGAUAAUUCGGAAAUAGAUCAGAUUGGGAUCAAUAACUUUAUUGCAUACAAUCAUUAACAUGUAUUACCAGGUGUGUGUUGCCAGUAAUGGUUGAAGAUAUGCCAAACAAAUUGUGCCUCUCUAUACAGACAGAUUUCAGGUCUCAAUUUCGACUUCAAAGGUCAACAUAUCACUGAUAUCAGGAAUUCUGUACAACUGUGGAACCAUGUAUGGUGCGUGACCGCACAAUUUUGGUUGGCAAAAGGAUAUUGGAAUAAGCAAAGGGUCUCAACAUUACACAGUCAUUUCAACAUGAAGAGUCUUGUCAGCAAUGAUGAAGCAGUACAUCAGAUUUCAAGAAUCUCGUCAUGAGCUGAAGAUCAUUGUCUAUGGAUUUCAUCAAUGAUGUAAAAUGAUUGGACUGUUGAUGGAACCCACAGUGCAUGUCCUGCUUCAACAUCUGAGCAUAGGUCCUUGUUUAUCAGCAGUUUAGUUCCUUAAAGCAGUCUGUGACAGUAACUUGAAAUGUUUGGACAUAUGCCCUGGAUGGCCAAGUUCUGUGCAUGAUGCCCAUUUUAAUAGGAACGGCCCAGUGGCGCAUUAAAUGGACAAUCUUUCGAAUGUUCUCGAGGAUUCAGCUUACCGCCUGACAAGAAAUCUUGCUUUUUAUGUCGUAUCGAGGGCAUGGCCAUUUGUCUCAUUUGCAAAAGAUACUGCGAUAUUUGUGCCUUUGUUCAUGCUUUAUAGUUGAUUAACAAUUGGAAGCCAUAACCUGUUUUAUAGGAUGGUGUUAGUGGGACAAUGAAUUUUAUAAAGAUUUAAAGACUGGAAAAGAUAAUUAAAAGUCAAAAGAGUUCUGCUAUUGUUAAGCAUGCUUUAUUGAUUUGUAACGGGUGUUACACGCAUUAGCCCUACCAUUAGCCCAAAAAGGAAUUGCUUAGGAGUUUUGCCACCUUCUAGAGAAAAAUACUUCUCAGAAACAAUUGCAUUUUGGAAAGUCUAUGGCUAGUAAAAUUUGGAUUCCUUUUGGAUACCCAAGGUUACCAAUUUAUGUUUAAUGAAUUUGCAAUAAAAAGCUUUGACAGAACAUAAUGUCACAGAGUCGAACACGUGUAUGGAAUAAAGUGGAAGUUGAUUUAAUGAGUAAUACACAUUAUAUGCUUCUUUGAUUCAAAGUUUGUGUUUUCACUAAAACUGCAAACAUAGUAAGCUUUAUGGUAUUUCAACUAAAUAAAAUAUUCAGAUUUAAAUUGUAUUAUUUGAAUGCGCUGUCUAAUACAUAUGAGCCUCGCUCUGUGAAAAAGGGGUUUAAUGCAUGUGCACUCCAGAUUAGCCUGGGCAGACCGCACAGGCUAAUCAGGGACGAUACUUAAUGAAGCAUGCAUUAAACCCCUUUUUCAAUGAGCAAGGCUCAUAUAUGUUGAAUAAACCAAAGAUAAUAAAAAACAAAACAAGACAUUUAACCCUGUACCACUUAAAAACGCACUAAGACACAUUCGAGAAUAAAUUUAAUUUAAGACCUUUCUUACUAUAUUAAAGUUUUAAAGGCUUUGUUUCCAACCCAUGGAUACUGAUGAGCAGCAAACAGCAUAAAACCUGAACAGAUUGCGAAUUACUUGCAGGCUGUUCUGGUUUUAUGAUGUUUGCAUGUAGAAAUUUUAAAAUUGCCUCAGAGCAGGAAAAGGUUAAUAAUAACACAACAGCAAUUAUACUUAAGUCAUUUUAAGACUUUGGUUUCAAUCAAAGUGCCAUAGCACCUAUAAAUUUGGUAUGUAAUUAUUUCAUUUCAAAGAAUGGCACAGUGGUAAAGAAGUUUACUCUAGAAGACCCUGGUUUGAAUCCCCAUGAAACCAAAUUAUAUUUUUCUUUUAUCAAUACAGCCUGGUUUUAAUUGAACCGAUGUUCAUACUAAUGCAAGUAACUUGCAACUGUCUAACCAAAAUUGGACAUGGUGGAAGGCAAAAUGAAUGGCUGUGCUACUUAAAUUAUCUAUUCAUACUCAAACAAUAUAUUGUUGAUUUACAGUAUCUUGUACAGCAUGCAUCUAAUACUACAGCCAAAUUUGCUUACAAAUAAUAUUACAACUUUACAAGAAGCACAAGUCAUUAAAGACUAAACUUUAUUGCAUCAACCAUUUAGCAGGAAUAAAAUAUAAAGAGAAAAAUUAUGGCAAUUUUGUCAUCUGAACAUACAAGUCUUGAAAAACAAUCCCAUAGCAUAUAAAACGACAGUUUACUAUUUAUCCGUUCUAUAUGUCAGCAUAAAGACAAGAUGGUAUUGACUGUGCAAUGAAACACAAGCAAUUUUAUUUGGUCAGUAUAUCAGACAUGUACACCUGUUAUAUGUUAACUGUAAGAGUUUAGAAUGUCUUGACAGUCAUUGUGUUUGUAAUACAUUGUGUUAUCUUCCAGAUUUGUGUGACAGUUAAAUAUAAUAAUCAAUAAACUUGUUCUGCAUGCCGGUCAAAUUGUUCCGUGGUAAACACCUACCCACUCGUACCUGUUUUUUAGUAAACUUGUACCUACCCAAACUAAACCCGUACCCGAUAUACAGAAAUAGGUGUAGGAUGGUUAGCUUAUAAGUCAAACUCAUACAGACAAUGUUUAUUUUCCUCUUAAUGUUUCCACUAAAAUUAUCUAAGCAUUUCUCACGCAAGUUGUUUGCUGCAGAUAUGUAUGACGCAGCUAAAGUGUUGAUGAAAAUUGACACUUGUGUUUGGUGUCUUUCAAUGAUUUGACAAUUGUGACAAAAUAAGACAAAUGUAACAAGUCGAAUAGUUUGAAUGAGGUACGAGUUGACAAAAAUGGGUACGAGUUGACCAAGGUACGAGUUGCCUUUGGGAUGAAUUGCCUGUAAAGCCUUGUUCUUUUUAAUUGAAGGUGUAUACGGUGCUGGACUAGAGCACACGACUACCAUAACAAUAACUUGGCUCUCUGCUUACUGAGCUUUAGGGAAGAUUUUUCUUGCCCACAAACACUAUUUCAUUUUUUGACGACAUAUGAGUCUGACGUGUUUAUGUUUUACCAGAGACUUUUGCAUAUCGACAAACCGUGAAAACAACACUCGAUACUCUUGAUCUGUUUUAAUUGCAUUCCAAUUCGUAAUUCAUGCAUGUUAAAUACUAACCUCAUGGCUAAUGUCAUCAAAAUUGAUCAUUCUUUCGCCCUUUAAAGGUUUUGUGUUAAUGUGAAACAACCGUCAUCAUGAUGACUGCAUGGAUGCUAAAUAAGACGCAAGUUUUGAUUGGUUCAUUCUAUGAGUCGGAACCAAUCAAAUUUUAUCGCGUAACCACAUAGCAACCCGAAUUUCAUGCAGUUAUUCAAAUGCUAUUGAAAAAUCGCGCGGAGUAAUGAAACUUCCGCGCGAUUUUUCAUUAGCAACCCGCAAUUUACAUAGCAACCCGAGAUUUGUACAGUAAUUCAAUGCUCAAUUUUCGCGGACGAUAUAGACUUCUUAAAAUAGCAUUCUACAAUCUCCGCGCGAUUUCAUACACUACUUUUUGUACAGAGUAGGUUCAGCGCGAUAAAUUGAGCCCGCUUUUUCUAUACAUGGCUGAAAGAUAAUUGUUCCGACGGAAAUAUAUGAAAGUUCCGCGCUUUUUAGAUUUCGAUUUUUAUGUAUUUUUUUGGCCAUGUUGUGGUUUUUCGCGAAAAGUGAAAGUUCCGCGAGAAAUGAAAAUCCCGAUAGUUCCUAUAUAAUUAUAUGUAUUUUAGCGGGUGUCCGCUUUGGCUUUCCAUAGGGACGAUACUAAACGCACAUGCUUUUAACCCGCUUUUCCCAUUAUGCGGCUCAUACGUAUGAAUAGAUUGUCUAUCCCAGUGCUUUGAUUUUUUAAAAUAUAAACCAGCAAUUAGAAUGAAUGCAACAUUCUUACAAAAACAGGGUUUUCUCGUGCAUUUGUUUGUUGUAUACAGCCGUAGCGGUACAAUAUGUAUCCAGUUUGCGAAUGCCUCAUCAAACAAACUUGAACAUUUUUAGCAAU